AAAGCAAUCAUAAAAAUCUUAGUGAGCAAUGGUGACUGGAAAAUGGUAUAAGAAGAGGAGCUGUGUUUAAUGGGAGAAAUCAGGGUCACAAGUAUGAUUAAUGGAGCGAGGUUAAUAGAGUAAAUUAACGGGGAGUUAGAAUAAUGAAUGUGGUUGCUGUUAACAGGGUUGAAGGUUGACUUUGGUAUAGUGUAUUCAUUUAUGAGCAUUAUAAUAGUCCUUUCUAUUUUUUUAUGACAGGAAAGAAAAACAUUGGCAACUUUUCUGGCUAUGUGUGGUUGACUUGUUUUUAAAUAAGAGCAAGACCUUCCGGUUUCCGUCUAUGGAUUGUUUCUUGAAAGAUGCAAGAGCUUCCGGUUCCCUCAACCUCUCCAACCGUUCACUAAGUGAAGUGCCAAAUGAAGUAUACAAAAGCAUGGAUGCUAUUGGAGGCAGUGAGAAAUGGUGGGAA